rnacentral:rRNA from 1 species
GGUCUCGAGACGCAGUCAGGCUCAAGGGUCGAUACUGCGGAUUGGGACCAUCCUCGAGAAGAACAUGUCUGUCAUUGAGUUGAUGGGCAUGGGACUCUCGUCUUUUACUGUGAGCAAAAUAGAGUGUUCAAAGCAGGCUUACGCCGUUGAAUACAUUAGCAUGGAAUAAUAAGAUAGGACCUUGGUCUAUUUUGUUGGUUAUACUCCAAGGUA